AAUAAGCACAUUUAUGCACCGUUUCUUCAUUGGUGGCUGGGCACCGCGGCUGCAUCCUCUUCUUCGUGGCAUGGCACAGUAAUUGCAGGUUCAUCAGUCAGGUGGUCAGCACCCAAACUAAAACCAUGCGUCAUGGUGGCCAGGAAUUGCAUCCCAGCAGCACAGAUGGGGGAGCCAACAUGAAGAGGUGUCCAGAGAGGCUUCUUCCUCUUUGGCUUUGCAGCAGCACCAGGACCUCACCAUCAGUGAUGCUGUU